rnacentral:rRNA from 1 species
GUUAGGAAUAUUGGACAAUGGGCGCAAGCCUGAUCCAGCCAUGCCGCGUGAGUGAAGAAGGCCUUCGGGUUGUAAAGCUCUUUCAGAUGUGAAGAUGAUGACGGUAACAUCAGAAGAAGCUCCGGCUAACUUCGUGCCAGCAGCCGCGGUAAUACGAAGGGAGCGAGCGUUGUUCGGAAUCACUGGGCGUAAAGAGUGCGUAGGCGGUUAUACAAGUCAGGAGUGAAAUCCCAGGGCUCAACCCUGGAAUUGCUUUUGAAACUGUAUAGCUAGAGUCCCGGAGGGGUUAAUGGAAUUCCGAGUGUAGAGGUGAAAUUCGCAGAUAUUCGGAGGAACACCAGUGGCGAAGGCGAUUAACUGGACGGGCACUGACGCUGAGGCACGAAAGCGUGGGGAUCAAACAGGAUUAGAUACCCGAGUAGUCC